rnacentral:rRNA from 1 species
GAGUUUGAUCCUGGCUCAGAUGAACGCUGGCGGCGUCUAAUACAUGCAAGUCGAGCGAACAGAUGAGAAGCUUGUUCUCUGAUGUUAGCGGCGGACGGGUGAGUAACACGUGGGUAACCUACCUAUAAGACUGGGAUAACUCCGGGAAACCGGCGCUAAUACCUGAUAAUAUUUUGAACCGCAUGGUUCAAUACGUGAAGGCGGAUUCCGCUGUCACUUAUAGAUGGACCCGCCUAUUAGCUAUGGUAAGGUAACGGUACCAAGGCGACAUACGUACCGACCUGAGGGUGAUCGCACACUGGAACUGAGACCGGCCAUACUCCUACGGAGGCACAUAGGGAAUCUUCCCAUGGGCGAAAGCCUGACGGAGCAACCCCGGAUGAUGAAUGUUUCGGAUCGUAAACUUGUUGUUAGGGAAGAACACAUUUGUUAGUAACUGAACAGUCUUGACGGUACCUACCAGAAAGCCAGGCUAUCUACGGCCACAGGGCGCGGUAAUAGUAUGUGGCAAGCGUAUACGGAAUUAUUGGGCGUAAGCUCGCGUAGCUGUUUCUUAAUCUGAUGUGAAAGCCCCGGCUCAACCCGUGGAGGGGUCAUUGGAAACUGGGGAUUUGAGUGCACAACAAGAGAGGGGAAUUCAUGGUAUCGUGGAAAUGCC